rnacentral:rRNA from 1 species
UACAGAGGGGCAAGCGUUGUUCGGAAUUACUGGGCGUAAAGCGCACGUAGGCGGCUGCUGCAAGUCGGACGUGAAAUCCUCGGCUCAACCCGAGGACGUGCAGUCCGAAACUGCAGUGCGUCGAGUAUGGAAGAGGGUCGCGGAAUUCUACGGUGUAGAGGUGAAAUUCGUAGAUAUCGGGAGGAACACCAGUCGGCGAAGGCGGCGACCUGGGCCAAUACUGACGCGUGAGGUGGCGAAA